rnacentral:misc_RNA from 1 species
UCCUCACAAAUGCGACAAAUUAUUGAACUCUCAUCAGAAACAUUCUGUUGAUCACCCCAAUAGCCCCAGGAAACCUUGUGUUGGUGCUUUGUAGAAUGUUCAUGUGAAUCUUUGGCUGUAGGAAGCUCUGAAAGCUUAGUGGCAAUUAGAUCUGCAUCAGAAACUGCUUUNUGCUUUCCUAUUGUUCAACAUUUUCAAAGGUUCAACCCUGCUAUCACUGAGUUCCUUUGAAGAUGCAACUUCCUUCAUGUUUUUUGCUGCUGGAGAUGGGAGUUUCUUCCACGAAGACAUCCGAUCCCAGCCCCCAAGAGAAUCCAUGUUCUUUGAACUGCCAUCAGCAGUAGAGAGUGAACUCCCUUGCAGUAGAACCUGGUCUCUGUUCCAAUCCAAGCCAUGCUGCUCUUGACUAUAAGAUUUCUUCACAGAGGCAGCAAUUGAUGACUUAUCAGCACUAGAACUUUUCCCUUCCCUUCCAAUGCCCAGA